CAAAGACCGGAGCUACAGAGCCCAGGCACCCAGCAGGGAAGGCUAAGGAAUCAACAAUGCAAUUAAAAGUCUUCAGCCAGCAAUGGAAAUAUUGAACAGUUGCACUGUUUCAAGUGAAGAGACAAUUGGUAACUCCAUAGACAGAGGGAAAAGCAUUAAGGUCAAUCCAGACAGGAUUUCAAUCAAGAGGAGAAAGCUAUCACUUGGUCAGAGACUUUGAAGGCAUGAAAAUUAAUCUGAGUACUCUGAAGGAGCUAGCCUGCCAAAGGAGGAAAAAUCAGAGCCUUUCAAACCAAAGGACUCAAAGAAAACAUCCUGGAAAGGCUAAAGCAAGGAGAGCGCCACAAGCCACCAGCUCAUUUUAAGUCAGUGAGGUACUGAACUAUUAAGGGGAAAGAAACUGGCAAUAUUGACUGAGAAAACUGGGACAAAGCCUGCAGAGGUUUAAUCCAGUUUGGUGCACAUACCUUUCAGCGUUACAUGAAAGCUUUUAGUUCCCUGGGGGUCUGCAGAGGCUUGUUUCACUUCGUCAAGAAAUGGAGGAUGUCUUCUGGGUAACACCAGCACCCGUCUGGACUGAGAAUACACAUUUCCAUCCCACAGUAAACCUCUGCUUAAGGACUUCCAAUUCUAAGCUUUCCUUUCUAAUCAUUUUCCUCCUGUUCUUCCACAACUUGAGAAUGAUUUGCACUUUUAAAUCACUAGUUUUAGCUCUUGAAGGAGAAUCCAGUAUCACAUACUGUGGCCAUCAUAAUUAUAGUACAUUCCGUGAAAUUCUUCAAAAGUGAUCUUACAGGAACAAAGUGUUAUUGAGUACCUUCAUUCCAAGUUCACUUAGCUGGCAGCCUUAGCAAAUAAGACAGACUGCAUAAGCACUGAUGUCUAUCAGCCUGCUACCAUUCCCUCCCCUUUUGCCCUUUAAUCACAGGAUGGCAUUCAAGAUGAUAAAGAUGUGCACUGACGGAAUGGCAGGACAAGAGCACUGCUGCCCACAGUCUCUCUUUCACAUAAUUCCAGAAAACACAACCUGCCAACACAGCACAGAUCCAGCUAGAGAAUACACUGUUGUCUUCAAAUACAGCUGCAUUUACCAAAGUUUCACAUAGUACAACUAGAAGUCAAAGACAGACCUUGCUUUGAAUUCCUUAAAGUAAUUCUGAAGUUACAACUGGGCUGAAAACACUCAAAUCUUACAUCUUAUGCCCAUAGAUAUGGAACGUACGCUUGAAGAAUAUCUUAUCUUGAAUCUAGCUGUUGUACCUAAGCACAUCUAGAGUUUAUCUGUAGGGCCAGUAAGAAAUCCUGAAAAUGAACCCACAAAAGUAGAGUAACUGGAAAAAAAAUCUUUUCCAACGAGUCCAGUUAUGACAACUCAUUUCUUGGCCAUGCAAGAAAUCCCUCUCUGGGAUACAGCUGACUCCACAAGCAGAGCAGCGAGAAGUUUUUCUUGCCGCCUGACUCACCUUUCCUGUGCUAGCACAAACACCUCUGACAUUACUCAGGAAGUUCCUUAUAAUUAUCUGGAGAUGCAGAUCCACAUGAAUAAUGUAUAUGUUGGGUUGGUUGCAGAACUGAAUGGUAUAUUAAAAAUUCAUUCAGUUCAUGUAAAAAAAAAUAGGAUAUGAAGGUAUUUUUGAAGGUGUUUUAAUGGAAGACAAAUUGAAAAAAAAUACCUUCUUAGGAUAGUCCAUAGCUUUACUCUGAAGGAUUAUUUAUUUGUAAUGGGGACUGGAGAUUUACGAAUAGCCUAACUGAAAACAUUUAUUUCAAAGUUUUAACAAUUAACAUUCCCAAACUUUUUCCUGCCACUUUUGGAAUAUGCAUUUAGGGCUGAAAAAAGUGUAACUCAAGCCUAAGUGAUUUCUCUCCUCAAAAACUUAUUCUUCAGUAAGUUUCUCCUCCUUCAGAAACAUGACAGACACGGGACAGGGUGACAUCAUCCUGGAUGACCCUGUGAGCCACACCACAGGCCUGAAGAUGCUUAACCUUCAUGUACUUCCAUAACAUAGGAGAAAACCGCAUCAAUACAAGACUGUUUGCUCAAGGCAGUUAAACUAAAUAUUUAAGUCAAUGGGGAAACCUCAAUAAAAUUGCUGCUGUGUACCCAUAUUGCAGAGUUUUAUCUAGUCCUGAACAAGUGUUUUUAUCUGCAGUGUCUUCACUAGUAUCCACUUUCAGUCUACACAAUCUUAACAUGAUACGUGCAUUUUCUAACUAAGGGAUCUGGUUAGGAAAACGUCCAGGAAAAUAAUUAGCCUUCAAAGCAUGUAGCGUUACACAGGGAAGAUGUAUUCAUUGUCUUACCCCUUCUCUGAACAUUUAGGUGCCCAGUGGUAAAAAGACAGUUUUAAC
rnacentral:lncRNA from 1 species